CAGCGUGUUCCCAAGGUCUCUGGCUGCCGUGGUCAACCUGGAGAGACUCUAACAGCCCAGGUCAGCAGAGGACCUGCCACUGCCACUCGACUUUCCUAUAAUG
rnacentral:snoRNA from 1 species